CUAGGUGGACAUCAUUUGUCAAGGUUUGCACAUAACUACACAUUGAAAAUUCUAGCUGGGUUGAUCUAGAUCUUGGUGCUACUACCUAUCAUCCAUAGCAUCUCCUCUUUUUACCACCAGCCACCACUACCACAAUGUUCCUCACACAAAUCAGGUUGUCCCACCGGCCUACAGAACUUGGAUAUUUGCUACGACAGUCUGCCAUGUGGUGCAUUACUUGGUUGAUGCCCAUCGAGAGUUCAAGACCAAUCCACACUAAGCAUUCUUGAUUCAUUAUUAUUUGCAUUAUUUUCAGAUCCAUUACCUUCUUGCAUAUCGUCAUCUAUGCAGCACAUGCCAACAAGCUCUGUCGACGUGGUGCCUAUAUAGUAAUCUAACAAGGCAGCACCCAUUAUAAAUGAUUUUCUAUGCAUCUCGAUUUCAUCCAAUAUCAAAGAUUUUUUAUCUCGAUUUUCUUAUGUAUAUCACAUGCAUAUCAGAGAAGUCACAUCCGCUUAACUAUCAUGUAUCACAAAGUUAGGCAGUAGUAGAAUAAGAUCAUACAGCUGCCUGUUAUUUUAGAUAAUAUGAUGUAUAGUAAGGUGCCGGUUUGCAGGAAAUAAAGCACAAUUGUGACACGAAAAGUUUGAACAUAACCAACGUGGUUUUAUCUUGCAUUCAUGAGACUCUCCUUUAAAGUGUUAUCUUUUCACACAGAGAGACAUACGAGGCCAUGAGGGCAUCCUAUAGACAAAAAGAACAUUCGAGGAAUUAAAAAAUUGAAUCGUCUCCACAGAACAAACUGCAAGCUUUGAAAUCAUUGAAGUGUUGGCAAUUCCGUAAUCUCUUAACAUAGGCUGCCGUCAUCAUGCCUCUCAGGUAGGCUAAUCCUUUUCUCCAUCAAGUUGUUCAUUACGUUCACGACAGUGAGUAGCACAGAACCUAAACAAAUGUAUAAUGUUGUCUGUUGAUGUCCCCACCACGAAGGCCCGGAGGCUCUGUUCAUAAUCACCUCUCGCCAUAUCUAGGGAGGAUUAUGGUCUAGGCAGAGCGGUGCAUGAUGCUGUAGUGUGGCUAUUGUCAAUGACACUGUCGUGAUGUUGUCCACUUUGUACCGAUGGUUCGAAAGCGACGCAAUGACAUCAUGUUUCUUCUCCUCGGCGAGUUUAUUAUUUUUCAUAGACCUCAUGGUAUAAAUAUAAGUUCUUGGCUCUUCUUCCACUCGAUCAUAUUCAUCUACAUCUACUUGGUUGAAAUAUAUUUUUUCCUGACUGAAUACCUUGCUUCUGUACAACUGCUAUGUAGGAGCAGAGUACCGAGGGCUGAGGAGACAAGUGCUGGAGAGGGUGGCAUGCAUCAGGAUGAGAGGGAAGAAAGUGCUGGAGGAUGUAAACAUCUGGAGGAACAUGUAUAGAGUGGUUCUUUGUGG